rfam:Rhizobiales bacterium TMED83 154581, whole genome shotgun sequence.
GGACAGGUGGCCGAGUGGCUGAAGGCGCACGCUUGGAAAGCGUGUAGGCGUUAACGCGUCUCGAGGGUUCGAAUCCCUCUCUGUCCG